rnacentral:lncRNA from 1 species
CACUUUGGGAGGCCAAGGUGGGUGGAUCACAAGGUCAGGAGAUCGAGACCAUCCUGGCUAACACGGUGAAACCCUGUCUCUACUAAAAAUACAAAAAAUUAGCUGGGCGUGGUGGUGAGCGCCUGUAGUCCCAGCUACUCGGGAGGCUGAGGCAGGAGAAUGGUGUGAACCUGGGAGGCAGAGCUUGCAGUGAGCCAAGAUCAUGCCACUGUACUCCAGCCUGGGCAACAGAGCGAGACUGUCUCCAAAAAAAA